ensembl:lincRNA
GUGCAGACCUAGGAUGACAAGCCACCUGCCAGUGCUGGAGACCACUGCUGUGCAUGCUGCCGCCUUCUUGUUCAUGUACCUCCCCCUCCCUCAUCCUUCAUGUUUACUUCUUUCACCGAAAUGAAAAUUGGUUGACAACAGAGCAGACGCUUCCUAAACCUCUCAAGAAAUCCUGAAGCAAGCCAUGCCUCUUGAAUGAAACAUAGACAGCUGAUUCCUGGCCCGGUGCUGCCUUCUGUCUGCAAUGGAGUUCCUGUGCUGUUUAGACGAUUGCUUGCCUCUCAGAUGUCACAGUUGGUGAUAUGUAUGUUUACUGAGCAAUUGCUGUAGCCCCACAUUGCCCUUGACUGGAGAUACUGAAUAUACCAGCAAGCAGCACGAGACGUAUACAUUAUUGAAUCCUCAUCUUUGGCGCAUGGAGGGCUGGCUCUUCAACCCUACUGGUUUAGCCCAUGUAACAAAUGACUGAGGUGGAACCCACAGUGAAAAUACAAUGAUCACUCAGUCUAUUUAGUGCAAUGACUGAAGCAGGCUGAGGGAAACUGCUCAGGUCGUUCUGGUGUGGCCCUGCUGCCUUCUGAGGGAGUGGUGAAUUGGCAAUUACUCUGAUAAAUGUGGCUGCUGGAGACCCAUCUCUGUACAUUCAACAAACAUUAAUCAAGAGUCUACAAUGGGCCAGUCCCUACCAAAACCUGAGCCCUUGAGACAGAAAGCUAACAUAACUGUCUUCUGAGAGGCUCCAUCCAGCAGUCAGUGAAAACAGAUACAGAGACCGACACUCAAACAUUAGAUGGAGCUCAAGGAGUCUUAAGGAAGAGUUUGAGGAAGGAUUGAGGGACUUGAAGAGGACACAGACCUCAAAGGAAAACCAACAGAGUCAGCUAACCUGGACACUUGGGGACUCCCAGAGACUGAAUCACAAAACAAAAGUGAGCAUGGGCUGGGCUAGGCUCCUGCACAUAUGAAGCAGAUGAGCAGCUUAGUCUUCAUGCAGGUCCACCAACAACUAAAGUGGGGGCUGUCCCUGAGCCUGUUGUGUGCCUGUGGACUCCAUACCACUAAAUGGGUAGCCUUGUCUGGCUCAGUGAGAGAGGAUGUGACUAGUCCAGCAGCUAUUUGAUGUGCAGGGGGUGGGGGUAGGGGUCGUGAGGGGUUAGAUGUUUGACACCCAGAGGGGGUUUCACAUUCUCUUUUGAAAAGGGGAAGGUGGAAUAGGAGGAGGGCUUUCCUGAGGAGUACUGGGAGGAGAGGAAGGGCUGAUAUUGUGUUGUAAAGUGAAUAAAUAAGUAAAUUAAAAACAAAUAAAACUAACAAAAUUGAGAUCUGUGAUCUAUUUGGAUCUAAGUUUUGUACAGAGUGAUAGAGAUUGGUAUUAUUUUAUUCUUCUGUAUGUGGACAUACAGGUUUUCCAGUGCCAUUUGUUAAAGAUGCUAUCUCUUCUCUCGAGAGGUUUUUCCUCAUUGUCAAAUAUCAGAUGGCUAUAGUUAUGAGAACUCACAUGUGGGUCUUCUAUUAUUCCAUUGUUCUACAUGUAUGGUUUACGCUAGUACCAUAUUGUUUUAUUACUAUGGCAUCUCUAGAACUCUGGGCUAGCAAUUCCGCUAAAAUUAUUCUUUUGGUUCAGGAAUGGCUUGCCUCUCUGGGAUCCUUUCUCAUUUCAUAUGAAUUUUAUUCUGUCAAGAAUGUGGAUAUUUUAAUUAGUGUUUCAUUGAAUCUGUACAUUUCUUUUAGCUUGUAAAAGAAGCUUGUACUUGUAGCUUGGCUAUUUUCACAACUAAUUCUACUGACCCAUGAACACAGAAUGGCUUUGUAUUUUCUAGUUUAUUUCUCAAUCCCUUUCUUCAAAGAUUUGUAAUUUGCAUUGUAGAGGUUUUUCACCUCCUCAGUUAGUUUUAUUCCAAGAUAUUUUAUUGUCAUUGAUGCUAUUGAAAAUAAAAGUGCAUCUUCAAUGUGUUUGUUAUUGAUAUAUAGAAAGGCUGCUGAUUCUUACAAGAUAGAAAGAUAGAUAGAUAGAUAGAUAGAUAGAUAGAUAGAUAGAUAGAUAGAUUUUUUUUUCAAGACAGGGUUUCUCUAUGUAGCCAUGGCUGUCCUGGAACUCACUCUGUAGACCAGGCUGGCCUUGAACUCAGAAAUCUGCCUGCCUUGCCUCCCAAGUGCUGGGAUAAAAGGUAUGUGCCACUACUGCCUGGCAUUAUGUAAGUAUUAUUACAAGUACUCUGCAAUUUUGCUGAAAUUGUUGUUUCUAGAAGUUUUAUUCUUUUUUAAAAAUUAGGUAUCUUCCUCAUUUGCAUUUCCAAUGCUAUCCCAAAAGUCCCCUAUACCCUACCCCCCACCCCCCUACCCACCCACUUCCACUUUUUGGCCCUGGCAUUCCCCUGUACUGGAGCAUAUAAAGUUUGCAAGUCCAAUGGGCCUCUCUUUCCAGUGAUNNAUAAUGUUGUUCCACCUAUAGGGUUGUAGAUCCCUUUAGCUCCUUGGGUAUUUUCUCUAGCUUCUCCAUUGGGGGCCCUGUGAUCCAUCGAAUAGCUGACUGUGAGCAUCCACUUAUGUGUUUGCUAGGCCCGGCCUAGUCUCACUAGAGACAGCUAUAUCAGGGUCCUAUCAGCACAAUCUUGCUAGUGUAUGCAAUGGUGUCAGCGUUUGGAUNNNNNNNNNNNNNNNNNNNNNNNNNNNNNNNNNNNNNNNNNNNNNNNNNNNNNNNNNNNNNNNNNNNNNNNNNNNNNCGUGGGUGUUUUGUUCCCAAUUCUAAGAAGGGGCAAAGUGUCCACACUUUGGUCUUCGUUCUUCUUGAGUUUCAUGUGUUUUGCAAAUUGUAGCUUAUAUUUAUUCUUAAGGACUAUAUAUAAGAAUUUAGGUGGGGGUGUGGUAAGAAAGUAGCUUAGUGAGAGAUCUCUACUCUUUUGAGGUUCAAGUUCAAAAACCAAAAAGGAAAAACAAAUCCCUUUGAUUUUCAUCUUUAAAUUUUGGUAUCAAUCAAUCUAGUAUAAAUUUGUCUAUCACAAAAAUGGCUUGAAGCAUUCAUUGUCAAUCAAUUGGCUCUGGAAUUGUGUUUUUGUCUUGAGUUAUAUUUCCCACUUACUAUGGAUAUUAAACAUCUCUGUAUACUAUUAUUAGCUAGUUGUAUUUUGCAUCUGAUCCCCACUCAGUCUUCUGAAGUCCACUUUUUAUUUGAGUGCUAAUCUGUUCAUUAUGCAUCUAAAUGAACUUUCUGAAUAUUAUUGAUUCUAGGCAUUUGCCCACCAGUCAUUUUACAGAUGCAUUCUUCCAGUUAGCAAUUUGUUGUUCUGUGUCCUUUAAUGUGAGUUGAUGACUAAAAAUAUCUUUCUUGUCAAAAUUUCUAUAAGUAGUAUACAGAAAAGAUCAAAAAUAAAAAUAUUAAAUAUCUCACAUGAAAUAUUUAUGUGUAGUUUACUUAGAAAAUGUGAGAACAUAUAUAUCUUUGUGUUUAAUUAGAAUACUACAUCAAUAUUUUAAAGCUACUAUACAAAUAUUAUAAACAUUAAGUACCUUUGUGCAUUUGUAUAGUUAAUGCUAUUCAGUACAUAUUCACUUUUGAAACCAGUAAAAAGAGGACUGAAAUAGCAGAAAAUUAAAAAAUUCUAAUAAAAAGGGGGAAAAUUCUUUCUAUACUGAAGUAAGGUGAUAUUAACAUAAGUACUUAGCAUAUAUUUAGAAUAUUUAUUACCAUAUAUAGUGGGGUCACAUGACAUAUUUUAAAAUCUAAAACAUGUAAAUUUUGUUAAUUUAUUAAAAUGCAUAGCUACAGAAAGAUUUUGAAUAUAACACAGUCAUUGCUAUUCAUUAGAAUUUACUAUCCCUGAAUC